UCUCCGUUGGUGAACCAGCGGAGGGAUCAUUACCGAGUUUACAACUCCCAAACCCCUGUGAACAUACCACUUGUUGCCUCGGCGGAUCAGCCCGCUCCCGGUAAAACGGGACGGCCCGCCAGAGGACCCCUAAACUCUGUUUCUAUAUGUAACUUCUGAGUAAAACCAUAAAUAAAUCAAAACUUUCAACAACGGAUCUCUUGGUUCUGGCAUCGAUGAAGAACGCAGCAAAAUGCGAUAAGUAAUGUGAAUUGCAGAAUUCAGUGAAUCAUCGAAUCUUUGAACGCACAUUGCGCCCGCCAGUAUUCUGGCGGGCAUGCCUGUUCGAGCGUCAUUUCAACCCUCAAGCACAGCUUGGUGUUGGGACUCGCGUUAAUUCGCGUUCCCCAAAUUGAUUGGCGGUCACGUCGAGCUUCCAUAGCGUAGUAGUAAAACCCUCGUUACUGGUAAUCGUCGCGGCCACGCCGUUAAACCCCAACUUCUGAAUGUUGACCUCGGAUCAGGUAGGAAUACCCGCUGAACUUAA
rnacentral:rRNA from 1 species